rnacentral:miRNA from 1 species
CAGUUAGUUUGCAUUUCAGAUAAACAACGAAUAAAUUUUUAGUACAAGUAUGCCCCAUGCAAUAUUUGGGACAUACUUAUACUAAAAAUGCUGCCUAGGUAGU